GAUGAACGCUGGCGGCGUGCCUAAUACAUGCAAGUCGAGCGAACGGACGAGAAGCUUGCUUUUCUGAUGUUAGCGGCGGACGGGUGAGUAACACGUGGAUAACCUACCUAUAAGACUGGGAUAACUUCGGGAAACCGGAGCUAAUACCGGAUAAUAUUUUGAACCGCAUGGUUCAAAAGUGAAAGACGGUCUUGCUGUCACUUAUAGAUGGAUCCGCGCUGCAUUAGCUAGUUGGUAAGGUAACGGCUUACCAAGGCAACGAUGCAUAGCCGACCUGAGAGGGUGAUCGGCCACACUGGAACUGAGACACGGUCCAGACUCCUACGGGAGGCAGCAGUAGGGAAUCUUCCGCAAUGGGCGAAAGCCUGACGGAGCAACGCCGCGUGAGUGAUGAAGGUCUUCGGAUCGUAAAACUCUGUUAUUAGGGAAGAACAUAUGUGUAAGUAACUGUGCACAUCUUGACGGUACCUAAUCAGAAAGCCACGGCUAACUACGUGCCAGCAGCCGCGGUAAUACGUAGGUGGCAAGCGUUAUCCGGAAUUAUUGGGCGUAAAGCGCGCGUAGGCGGUUUUUUAGUCUGAUGUGAAAGCCCACGGCUCAACCGUGGAGGGUCAUUGGAAACUGGAAAACUUGAGUGCAGAAGAGGAAAGUGGAAUUCCAUGUGUAGCGGUGAAAUGCGCAGAGAUGUGGAGGAACACCAGUGGCGAAGGCGACUUUCUGGUCUGUAACUGACGCUGAUGUGCGAAAGCGUGGGGAUCAAACAGGAUUAGAUACCCUGGUAGUCCACGCCGUAAACGAUGAGUGCUAAGUGUUAGGGGGUUUCCGCCCCUUAGUGCUGCAGCUAACGCAUUAAGCACUCCGCCUGGGGAGUACGACCGCAAGGUUGAAACUCAAAGGAAUUGACGGGGGCCCGCACAAGCGGUGGAGCAUGUGGUUUAAUUCGAAGCAACGCGAAGAACCUUACCAAAUCUUGACAUCCUUUGACAACUCUAGAGAUAGAGCCUUCCCCUUCGGGGGACAAAGUGACAGGUGGUGCAUGGUUGUCGUCAGCUCGUGUCGUGAGAUGUUGGGUUAAGUCCCGCAACGAGCGCAACCCUUAAGCUUAGUUGCCAUCAUUAAGUUGGGCACUCUAAGUUGACUGCCGGUGACAAGCCGGAGGAAGGUGGGGAUGACGUCAAAUCAUCAUGCCCCUUAUGAUUUGGGCUACACACGUGCUACAAUGGACAAUACAAAGGGCAGCGAAACCGCGAGGUCAAGCAAAUCCCAUAAAGUUGUUCUCAGUUCGGAUUGUAGUCUGCAACUCGACUACAUGAAGCUGGAAUCGCUAGUAAUCGUAGAUCAGCAUGCUACGGUGAAUACGUUCCCGGGUCU
rnacentral:rRNA from 1 species